AUGAAAAUCAAUUAAGAACAUUAAAUAGAAAAUGAAAAUGGAGGUGCUGGAACGAAAAUGGGAAAAACGAAAUGGAAACAGCAAGGGAAAUGAACUAAAACGAAAUUAGAUUGGGAGGAAAUGCAUUAAUGAAAUUUAAUGUAAGCUUCAAUAAUAAUUCAGAAAACAAAAGAGAUGAACAAGAGAGAAAAUGAAAAAGAACUUAGAAUGAGGUCUCCAAAACCAAAAACAUGAAAAAAGUACAAUGAGGGAGAGUGGCUAGGUCUGCCCCCCCCC
rnacentral:lncRNA from 1 species